UGAACGCUGGCGGCGUGCUUACCACAUGCAAGUCGAACGGUGAACACGGAGCUUGCUCUGUGGGAUCAGUGGCGAACGGGUGAGUAACACGUGAGCAACCUGCCCCUGACUCUGGGAUAAGCGCUGGAAACGGCGUCUAAUACUGGAUAUGUGACGUGACCGCAUGGUCUGCGUUUGGAAAGAUUUUUCGGUUGGGGAUGGGCUCGCGGCCUAUCAGCUUGUUGGUGAGGUAAUGGCUCACCAAGGCGUCGACGGGUAGCCGGCCUGAGAGGGUGACCGGCCACACUGGGAUUGAGACACGGCCCAGACUCCUACGGGAGGCAGCAGUGGGGAAUAUUGCACAAUGGGCGAAAGCCUGAUGCAGCAACGCCGCGUGAGGGAUGACGGCCUUCGGGUUGUAAACCUUUUUUAGCAGGGAAGAAGCGAAAGUGACGGUACCUGCAGAAAAAGCGCCGGCUAACUACGUG
rnacentral:rRNA from 1 species